GACAGAGGCCUCAAGCGUUAGGCGGAAUCACUGGGCUUAAAGCGUGUGUAGGCGGAUCGUUAAGUGUCUUGUGAAAUCCCACGGCUCACCCGUGGAACUGCUGGGCAUACUGGCGAUCUUGGGCCAACUAGGGGCAGCCGGAACAAGCGGUGGAGCGGUGAAAUGCGUAGAUAUCGCUUGGAACGCCGAAGGUGAAAACAGGCUGCUGGGGUUGUGCCGACGCUGAGACGCGAAAGCGUGGGGAGCGAACAAG
rnacentral:rRNA from 1 species